rnacentral:rRNA from 1 species
GUGGAAACAGGGUGCUAAUACCGUAUAACAAUGACAACCGCAUGGUUGUUAUUUAAAAGAUGGUUCUGCUAUCACUAAGAGAUGGAUCCGCGGUGCAUUAGUUAGUUGGUGGGGUAAAGGCUUACCAAGACGAUGAUGCAUAGCCGAGUUGAGAGACUGAUCGCCCACAUUGGGAGUGAGACACGGCCCAAACUCCUACGGGAGGCUGCAGUAGGGAAUCUUCCACAAUGGGCGCAAGCCUGAUGGAGCAACGCCGCGUGUGUGAAGAAGGCUUUCGGGUCGUAAAGCACUGUUGUAUGGGAAGAAAUGCUAAAAUAGGGAAUGUUUUUAGUUUGACGGUACCAUACCAGAAAGGGACGGCUAAC